CUACGUGCCAGCAGCCGCGGUAAUACGGAGGAUGCGAGCGUUAUCCGGAUUUAUUGGGUUUAAAGGGUGCGUAGGUUGUUCGGUAAGUCAGCGGUGAAACCUGAGCGCUCAACGUUCAGCCUGCCGUUGAAACUGCCGGGCUUGAGUUCAGUGGCGGCAGGCGGAAUUCGUGGUGUAGCGGUGAAAUGCAUAGAUAUCACGAGGAACUCCGAUUGCGAAGGCAGCUUGCCAUACUGCGACUGACACUGAAGCACGAAGGCGUGGGUAUCAAACAGGAUUAGAUACCCUGGUAGUCCACGCAGUAAACGAUGAUUACUAGGAGUUUGCGAUAUACCGUCAAGCUUCCACAGCGAAAGCGUUAAGUAAUCCACCUGGGGAGUACGCCGGCAACGGUGAAACUCAAAGGAAUUGACGGGGACCCGCACAAGCAGCGGAGCAUGUGGUUUAAUUCGAAGCAACGCGAAGAACCUUACCAAGUCUUGACAUCC
rnacentral:rRNA from 1 species